rnacentral:rRNA from 1 species
GCCCCGGUAAACGGCGGCCGUAACUAUAACGGUCCUAAGGUAGCGAAAUUCCUUGUCGGGUAAGUUCCGACCUGCACGAAUGGCGUAAUGAUGGCCAGGCUGUCUCCACCCGAGACUCAGUGAAAUUGAACUCGCUGUGAAGAUGCAGUGUACCCGCGGCAAGACGGAAAGACCCCGUGAACCUUUACUAUAGCUUGACACUGAACAUUGAGCCUUGAUGUGUAGGAUAGGUGGGAGGCUUUGAAGUGUGGACGCCAGUCUGCAUGGAGCCGACCUUGAAAUACCACCCUUUAAUGUUUGAUGUUCUAACGUUGGCCCGUAAUCCGGGUUGCGGACAGUGUCUGGUGGGUAGUUUGACUGGGGCGGUCUCCUCCUAAAGAGUAACGGAGGAGCACGAAGGUUGGCUAAUCCUGGUCGGACAUCAGGAGGUUAGUGCAAUGGCAUAAGCCAGCUUGACUGCGAGCGUGACGGCGCGAGCAGGUGCGAAAGCAGGUCAUAGUGAUCCGGUGGUUCUGAAUGGAAGGGCCAUCGCUCAACGGAUAAAAGGUACUCCGGGGAUAACAGGCUGAUACCGCCCAAGAGUUCAUAUCGACGGCGGUGUUUGGCACCUCGAUGUCGGCUCAUCACAUCCUGGGGCUGAAGUAGGUCCCAAGGGUAUGGCUG